UGCUCCUACGGGAGGCAGCAGUGGGGAAUAUUGCACAAUGGGGGAAACCCUGAUGCAGCAACGCCGCGUGAGUGAAGAAGUCAUUCGUGAUGUAAAGCUCUAUCAGCAGGGAAGAAAAUGACGGUACCUGAGUAAGAAGCCCCGGCUAACUACGUGCCAGCAGCCGCGGAAAUACGUAGGGGGCAAGCGUUAUCCGGAUUUACUGGGUGAAAAGGGAGCGAAGACGGCCAGACAAGUCUGAAGUGAAAAUACAGCGCUUAACGUGGGAAGUGAUUUGGAAACUGCCGGGCUAGAGUGCAGGAGGG
rnacentral:rRNA from 1 species